rnacentral:misc_RNA from 1 species
ACACCUCAACUCUCAUGGUUUGCCAUGAUGAGCUUGGACUUUGGGGGUCUUGCUGGCACAACCGUCGGCUCCUCUCAAAUGAAUCAGCUUUCCAGUGUUUGGUGGCGUCACAGGUGUGAUAACUAUCUACGCUUGUGGUUUUCCAUCAGGUUACCUUCAGCAAUGAAGGUUCACCGGAGCUUACAGACGUCUCUCCCUUUGGGAUGACAGCUUUUGAAC